rnacentral:lncRNA from 1 species
AUGGGUGUGUAUGUGUGUGCGAUCGUGAGAGAAGCCAGGAGAGAGCUUUUCCCCUUAAGAACCCUAACAUACUAAAUCCUUCAAAUUAAAGAGGAGAUUGAAGGCUAGUGGAAUGCAUGGAUUAAGAAUGAUGAUCCCCUAAGCAUUUCCUACAUCAAGAUGGUAAUGAGAACGAGAGUAAAGGAAAGCUUGAGUCAUACCCAAGAUAAAGUGACGAAAAAUCAAGGUAAGUUCUUUUGAACUUUAUUUACUCUACUAGUAGAUUUAUGAAUGAUAUUAAUUGAUAAUACAAUUCGUGCAAAUUCCUUUAUAGAUAAAGAUUGGUUAGAUGUAAGAGUUUAUGUCAAAAAAAAAAAGGUUUUAGAAGUUAUGUUGUAAUGAAUGCGAAAUAGCAAAUCCCUUGCGGAUUUGCGGAUUUGGUUAUGCUAAUGAAGGUUAUGUUAAGUCAUUCAAGUCGACCGGUUCUAGUUAGACAAGUCGAGUAAAGAUAAGCUACCACCCGUUUUGAAUGGGUGGUCAUGAAUGCUAUGACGAAUGCUUGAAAUUUAAUCCGUUAUACGGAUGGAAAGAAAGAAUUAUGUUGAAAGCGAUUAACCCGAUGUUACCGGGUUGUAAGUGAUAAGCUUGAACCUCAUUAUGAGGGUAUAUGCCAUUACCCAUUUAGUUGGGUAAAUCGAAUGCGUAGAAAUAAUGAAAGCAUAUAAACGAAUGAAGCUAAUAUAUUGUUACAUCGAGUUAAAUGAGUAUUACGGCUAACUUUUGAAGUCUUGUUAUUGAAUGUAGGUAAUCCUCACUUUAGGCGAUUUGGAGAAUUGGAGCGAGCACGUGUCCAUGUCAUGUUAUACCAAACGCUUCCGCUAGAUUAUUCUCAUCCUUUUGGUCCAUGACUUGUUAUUUUGUCCAACUUUGUUAGUAGUUGUACAUUUGUAAAACUUGUCGUCUUUGCUUUUGGUAGUUUUAUGUCAACGGGUCGUAGAAUGUUAUUUGAAUGAUUAUGUUAAAACCAGGGGGCACAUUCGUUUUACGAACGGGUCAUGCCCAAUUU